rnacentral:rRNA from 1 species
ACGGCUCAGUAACACGUGGCUAAUCUGCCCUUAGGACGAGAACAACCCCGGGAAACUGGGGCUAACUCUUGAUAGGUGAAGAACUCUGGAAUGAGUCUUUGCCUAAAUAGAUUCACGUUAUCCUCGUGAACCUGCCUAAGGAUGAGGCCGCGACCGAUCAGGUUGUUGGCGAGGUAAUGGCUCACCAAGCCUUUUACCGGUGCGGGCCGUGGGAGCGGGAGCCCGGAGAUGGGUACUGAGACAAGGACCCAGGCCCUACGGGGCGCAGCAGUCGCGAAACCUUUGCAAUACACGAAAGUGUGACAGGGCUAUCCCGAGUGCCAUCCGCUGAGGAAGGCUUUUACCCAGUCUAGAACGCUGGGGGAAUAAGGAGAGGGCAAGUCUGGUGUCAGCCGCCGCGGUAAUACCAGCUCUCCGAGUGGUGUGGAUGUUUAUUGGGCCUAAAGCAUCCGUAGCUGGCUAGGUAAGUCCCUUGUUAAAUCCACCGAAUUAAUCGUUGGAUCGCGGGGGAUACUACUUGGCUAGGGGACGAGAGAGGCAGACGGUAUUUUCGGGGUAGGGGUGAAAUCCUAUAAUCCCGGGAAGACCACCAGUGGCGAAGGCUGUCUGCUAGAACGCGCCCGACGGUGAGGGAUGAAAGCUGGGGGAGCGAACCGGAUUAGAUACCCGGGUAGUCCCAGCUGUAAACGAUGCAGACUAGGUGUUUGGACGGCCACGUGCCGUUCUAGUGCCGCAGGGAAGCUGUUAAGUCUGCCGCCUGGGGAGUACGAUCGCAAGAUUGAAACUUAAAGGAAUUGGCGGGGGAG